rnacentral:tRNA from 1 species
GGAAGCGUGCCCGAGCAGGGACUACCUUGAUAGAGUAGACACGGAACUUAAUAUUCCCACUUCCC